rnacentral:misc_RNA from 1 species
UGGCAGGUUUGUUUUGUGUAGUUUGGUUUUUUGUAUUUCUUCACCCUCCGAAAUAUACAUGGAGGAUAUUGAAACCUUGGGUUUUGUUUUAUUGGAAUUUAUUUAGAUGUGUUUAUAAGGAAUUUCUCUCUUUCGAGGUGAAAUUGAAGUUUUAAUAAGUGGAAUAAUGUAAUAUUUAGCAGAUAUUGAGAAUUAGGAUCAGUGAAUCUUGGAGUAUAAUUUCUGCUUGGAGAGGAGGUCAAAAAGUUUAAUCUUUUGUAGUAAGAAAACUUUCUGGAGAAAAUUGAGAAUAAAUGUAGGAAUAUGUGAGGAAUAGGAGUCAGCAAUUAGAAUAAAAGAUCAUGAAAUACACUGGGUUUAUGUUAUUGCUC